rnacentral:tRNA from 1 species
UAGGCUGAAGCCCGCUGGAUUGGGCGACUAGUUGUUAAUUAGUAUUUUUAUGGGAUCAAGGCCCAUUAGUCUAUU